rnacentral:rRNA from 1 species
UACAGAGGGUGCGAGCGUUAAUCGGAAUUACUGGGCGUAAAGCGUGCGCAGGCGGUUGGGCAAGUCAGGUGUGAAAUCCCCGGGCUUAACCUGGGAACUGCACUUGUGACUGCACAGCUGGAGUACGGCAGAGGGGGAUGGAAUUCCGCGUGUAGCAGUGAAAUGCGUAGAUAUGCGGAGGAACACCGAUGGCGAAGGCAGUCCCCUGGGCCUGUACUGACGCUCAUGCACGAAAGCGUGGGGAGCAAAGAGG